GUUGUAGCAGUAGCGUGUGUGGCUGAAGGUUCUCCUUAACCUUCACAGUAACAUCUGGCAGUACUCAGCAGCUCCCCAGAGAGAGAACUGCGCAGUGCCGGCUCCAGUGGAUGUGGUGGAUGAGGACUCACCAUCGUGUUGUUGAGCCUGCCUUUCCACUGGAUGGCGCUCGGCACUCACCCUCUUUUUGAACAGGUAAAGAUGUUCCCAAAA